AGCGCGUGCGAGCAGCGCCAUUUCUCUUCAGGAAAAAAACGCUUUCUUGAAAAAGAAAGUGCAGAUUUUUAAAGUCUGUGUAGCUUAAAAUACAAAGACUAGGGAAGUUGGAGCCUGAAGUUCAGGUGUCUCUGGUUCAAAGGCGUCUUCAGAAGUAAAACACUGAGCAUCAUCAACAUGCUGCAGGGCUCGGCUGGUGCAUGCAGGGUAAUGGCUUCAGCAGCACACAGAACGUGGAGGCGCGGCUGCCGGUAAUCCUGCAGAGAAUUGGGCCCAUUAUGGAGAAAGCAGUGCCACUGGCCUACCGUAAUCUGCAAUGUGGUUCUGCUUAAACCUGUCCACAGACCACCAACUGUUCAAGAAUGGAGCCAACUCAAUGACAACGUUUCUUGAGGUGGCCGUACGAUCCUCAAAAGAACUGCAAAACACACCUGCGCUCUCCUUAAGAUGCAGUCGCUCCUCUACGAACAUCCAUGGACCUGGACAAGCCAAAGACCUGCAGCACCCGUACGGGUCAACCCCACGUAGGGGGUUCACGUGACUAAAGUUUGACAUGUCCUCAGGACAGACACUGUAGUUGCGUUUGGUGAGUCAGAUAAGGCAGCAUGACCAUUCCCACAUUAGCGUGGAUUGAGAAGCAGUGAAGAGAACUUUGAGGACUAAAAAGUCGAGAACAUGCAGACCAUGUCCACAUCUGUCUGAAGGAUUUGUUACACUUUUAUAGUUAACCUGUUUGUCAGAGUUCAUGCUUUAGAUGAAACGUAAUUGAAUACUUAUUGACCCCUCUGUCUUUAAAUAAAAAAAGGAGCUUUUUGUUUCUCUUCUCAGGGACACGCGCUCUUAAAUAAACGAAAAGCAACAUAAUCAUGUGUCACCACUGAAAAAAGACUUUCUCUUGAGCUUCACACAUGGCUGAAGCUCAGGGGCUGAGCAGCUGUUAAAAGGAACAGUAGCAGAGCUAAAAACAGCAAGGACAGACGAAAGGUCUAGAUGUUUGACCUGAAAGCAGAACCUGCAGAUAUUUGACCUAAAAGCAGAAAGCAGUUCUCAUUUCUCACCCAAGCAGGCGGCUGGUUUCACAGUGGUUGGACCUAAACAGAAGUUUAGUGAUUCAGGACUUCAACACUGACUGAAUGUUUGAGAACAACGACUUCUUGUUGAGGAGAGAAAAAGCUGUUGAUGUACUGUGGAGCUCUAAAGCUAACGGACCGAUUUUCCUUACGGAAAAUCGGUCCGUCAGUGGAACCUGGGGCAGUGGAACCUGUUGGGUUAAGGUUUCUCUCAAACCCACAGAGGCUUUUUCCACCAACAAGCAUUUGGGCCACCUCAUAGUGGGUUCACGUCACAUCAGGAGGACAACAUUGGACUUCCAGACAAGAAUGCACAAUUUUAUUUUUAAUUUUUACUUUAACAACAUCCUGAAAUGACGUAACAAACCCGUAAACUACGAUGUAAACCAAUACAUAAACUAAAGCGAUAUUCACACCUGACGCAAUUCGCAUGUCAAAUUUUCAAAAGUGCGCCUCCCUUUUGGCGCGCUUCAGAUUUGCUGCUCGAUGCAUGUCCAAAAAAUGUGCUUGACGCCUCGAUGCCCCAAAUAUUUGUGGGCGGAGCUACUGCUUAAUGUUUGUAUCUGUGUUUAUCUCAUUACAAUGCAUGGAAGAAAGGGAGGAUGUUUAGAGAUUAAAGCUCUACAAAAACAUCGGUAAUCAUGUUUCCGUGUUGGGGUCAUUCGGACCCAGCUGGGUCAUUCAGACUGGAGGAUGUUUUUAUUAUUGUCUUGAUGAAAAAGAUUUAAGCAGGCGCCCUCCCCA